rnacentral:tRNA from 6 species
GUCAACAUGGCCGAGUGGUUAAGGCGACAGACUUGAAAUCUGUUGGGUUCGCCCGCGUAGGUUCGAACCCUACUGUUGACG